GACUCGUAGCGAUGGUGCGCACCUGCUCUCUGAGGUUGUGAAAAAUACAAAUGAAAUCCACAGCAGGUUCCCGGUUCGAUUCCGGGUUGAGUCA